UAGGGAAUCUUCGGCAAUGGACGAAAGUCUGACCGAGCAACGCCGCGUGAGUGAAGAAGGUUUUCGGAUCGUAAAACUCUGUUGGUAGAGAAGAACGUUGGUGAGAGUGGAAAGCUCAUCAAGUGACGGUAACUACCCAAAAAGGGACGGCUAACUACGUGCCAG
rnacentral:rRNA from 1 species